GGAAGGGGAAUGACUCAAUAGUAGAGCAUCAGUUUGAUAUGCAGAAAGUCCCAGGUUCAAUCCCUGACUUCUCCA
rnacentral:tRNA from 1 species